GACGAACGCUGGCGGCGUGCUUAACACAUGCAAGUCGAACGGUAAGGCCUUCGGGUACACGAGUGGCGAACGGGUGAGUAACACGUGGGUGAUCUGCCCCCUACUCUGGGAUAAGCCUGGGAAACUGGGUCUAAUACCGGAUAUGACCUCCUUCUGCAUGGUUGGUGGUGGAAAGUUUUUUCGGUAGGGGAUGAGCCCGCGGCCUAUCAGCUUGUUGGUGGGGUAAUGGCCUACCAAGGCGACGACGGGUAGCCGGCCUGAGAGGGCGACCGGCGACACUGGGACUGAGACACGGCCCAGACUCCUACGGGAGGAAGCAGUGGGGAAUAUUGCACAAUGGGCGAAAGCCUGAUGCAGCGACGCCGCGUGGGGGAUGACGGCCUUCGGGGUGUAAACCCCUUUCAGUCGGGACGAAGCGAGAGUGACGGUACCGAUAGAAGAAGCACCGGCCAACUACGUGCCAGCCGCCGCGGUAACAC
rnacentral:rRNA from 1 species